AUGGCUAUCAAGGCCAUGGUGUAUUGAGUCAUUUAUUUCAUGGAAUCAAACCUAAAAAUGAGAAGAGAAUAACAUGGCAUGAAGGUCACAGGAAGCCUUCCUGAUGAUCUGCACUCUGUGGCUUUAGAACAACACCAUGGCUACAGCCAAGCAGCUCCACAGCCUCCCCAACAACACAACAACUUCACACUUUAAAAUAGGCUUUUUAAACCUUUUCUUGCCCAGGAAAAUGAGCAAAACACAUCUUGUUUUAUCAGGUGAAUGGCAAGGAGAGGUAAUCAACAUCUUAAAAUGAAUGGAUUUGAUCAUUUGUUAUUAUUAUUUUGACCUCCCACAUCCAUAUAAUUGGAAGAGGAAGUGUAAACUAACAUAGCCUAGUAGCUAGAAAGGUAACUCCAAACACAUUUUCACUAAGAACAGCUGUUUAGGUGGUUAAAUGAAGGUUAGCUGUGUGCUGGCAAAACAUUAAUCAAGUCAAGAAAGCUUAGCAGCAGCCAGCGGCACUUUCUGCACUGGUAGCGGGUGCUUUUUCAAAGCCCAUGUCAGAUACUCCAUUGAGUGUAAUUGAAUCAAAUCAAAUUUUAUUUGUCACAUGCGCCGAAUACAAGUGUAGACCUUACAGUGAAAUGCUUGCUUACAAGCCCUUAACCAACAAUGCAGUUCAGAAAAAAAGUGUAUUUACUAAAAUAAAUUGAAGUAAAAAAAUAAAAUAAAAAAAGAGUUUUAAAAAUAACAAUUAAGGAGCAACAAUAAAAGAACAGUAACGAGGCUAUAUACAGGGGGUACCGGUACAGAGUCAAUGUGGAGGUUAUAUACAGGGGGUACCGGUACAGAGUCAAUGUGGAGGCUAUAUACAGGGGGUACCGGUACAGAGUCAAUGUGGAGGUUAUAUACAGGGGGUACCGGUACAGAGUCAAUGUGGAGGCUAUAUACAGGGGGUACCGGUACAGAGUCAAUGUGGAGGUUAUAUACAGGGGGUACCGGUACAGAGUCAAUGUGGAGGUUAUAUACAGGGGGUACCGGUACAGAGUCAAUGUGGAGGUUAUAUACAGGGGGUACCGGUACAGAGUCAAUGUGGAGGUUAUAUACAGGGGGUACCGGUACAGAGUCAAUGUGGAGGCUAUAUACAGGGGGUACCGGUACAGAGUCAAUGUGGAGGUUAUAUACAGGGGGUACCGGUACAGAGUCAAUGUGGAGGCUAUAUACAGGGGGUACCGGUACAGAGUCAAUGUGGAGGUUAUAUACAGGGGGUACCGGUACAGAGUCAAUGUGGAGGUUAUAUACAGGGGGUACUGGUACAGAGUCAAUGUGGGGGAGUAAAGGUUAGUCGAGGUAAUUGAGGUAAUAUGUACAUGUAGGUAGAGGUAAAGUGACUAUGCACAGAUAAUAAACAGAGUAGCAGCAGCGUAAAAAUGGGUGUGGGGGGACAAUGCAAAUAGUCUGGAUAGACAUUUGAUUAGCUUUUCAGGAGUCUAAUGGCUUGGGGGUAGAAGCUGUUAAGAAGCCCUUUGGACAUAGACUCUGCGCCAAUGAGUGUAAUUUGCUCAAUAUUUGGAUUGAUAAAUAAAGUUGACAUAAUUAGAAAGAAGAUUCUUCUCUUUUCUACUGUAGGUAUGUAAUUCAACAUUCCUUUAUUCUGUUGUUGCUAGGGAUAUAUUUUUAUAUAAAUAUUUUUGCGGACCCCCUGCAGUACCUCAGUGGACUCUUAGGGGGGAGGCAGACCCCAGGUUGAAUACCCCUACCUUAAAAACAUCCGCCACCUGCUGUAGCAGUCAUACAAUUGGAAUGGGUAGAAUGGUAGACAUUGACAUUCCCAUUGAAAGCAAGGUCCCUACUGUAACACCAUGGUAUGUGGCAUGGCAGACAUUGGAGAGGUUGUUCAGAAUGUGGAUGACUUGUGUUCUAAAAGGUCGAAUUGCUCUGUUAUAUCGGUGGAUCCAUGUAAAUCUUCCAGAAUUUAGAACCUGUUUGAUUCGUUUUUCUACCCAUUCCAUUGCUAUGGUACUAGCCG